rnacentral:rRNA from 1 species
UUCCAGACUCCUACGGGAGGCAGCAGUGGGGAAUAUUGCACAAUGGGGGAAACCCUGAUGCAGCGACGCCGCGUGAGUGAAGAAGUAUUUCGGUAUGUAAAGCUCUAUCAGCAGGAACGAGACAAGACGGUACCUGACUAAGAAGCCCCGGCUAACUACGUGCCAGCAGCCGCGGUAAUACGUAGGGGGCAAGCGUUAUCCGGAUUUAUUGGGUGUAAAGGGCGUGUAGGCGGGAAAGCAAGUCAGAUGUGAAAACUCAGGGCUCAACCCUGAGCCUGCAUUUGAAACUGUUUUUCUUGAGUGCUGGAGAGGCAAUCGGAAUUCCGUGUGUAGCGGUGAAAUGCGUAGAUAUACGGAGGAACACCAGUGGCGAAGGCGGAUUGCUGGACAGUAACUGACGCUGAGGCGCGAAAGCGUGGGGAGCAAACAGGAUUAGAUACCCCUGUAA